UUUAAGGAUACAUUCCUGAAGAAAAAAACCCCCUGGCAUUGUCGAAUAGACGCCAGAAAUCUUGGGGCUCUUCCAGCUGCCUUAUGGCCCGAUUGACUCCCUCAGCCUUGUGGGGGGGCCACCUGCAUGUCCCACUAUUGUACCAUUGCGUUGGCAUAACCUCCACCUCCUCGGAAUUGUCAAAGCAGACAACGGAAUACAUAGUAGCUGGUCUUCUGCAUGAGAACAAAAAUCAAACUCUGUUAACCAGUUUAACCCUACUGUCGCGUCAAAUCAAAGCACACUGGGAAAUCAUGCACAGCAACAGCCACAAUCUCAGCUCCAAGUCUCAGCUCCAAACCUCCGAACCUGCAGGGGGCAGAGAGAUAAAUAUGUGAAAUGUUGAAAAGGUAUAUUAAGGCAUUACAUCAGUACUUAAGUUGGAGUAGUAGCCUGUUUGUGCCUGUGUAGCAGGGUUAAUGCUUCUGUGGCAUCCCGCCACGUGGUCCUCGGCCUGGACGGGCCCGGGGUACCGUGGAGGACGGGGUGUACCACCCCCACCCACCAGCCGGCGAUGGAGAGCAGCCCUUUCGGCACCCCAAUCAGGGUGAUUGGGGGACACCUGGCCGAAAGCACGGGAGCCAUUUUAAAAGGAGGCACAGCACAGCACAGCACGGGUCGGGUGCAGGAAGGAAGGGCUCGUGGCAAGGAGAGAGCCUAGAGGCCCACCCCGGCUGGGAGAGGCUGCCAUUGUGAGGGUUCUCAACAAGCAUUUUCCAUGUUAAAUAUUCCACCAGGUAUGUCACCAAUCGCCCAUUCAAAUAUUUUGUGAGUCAUUUGUUUAAUGUGAUAUUUAUCUUCAUGUAAAUGGUCAGUCUACGUAUACCCCGGCUGGGAGAGGCUGCCAUUGUGAGGGUUCUCAACAAGCAUUUUCCAUGUUAAAUAUUCCACCAGAAUAAACGGCUGGCUGCCAAUGGUUCCAUCGUGGUCUCUGACACAACGCAACGAGAGAGUACGCAACCGCUACAAAUGGUGCCGUGACCCGUUCUUCUCUGCCUGUCUGCUGCGUCGUUGAGGAUCGCCAUUCGGCGUCGUGAGCACCGACCACGUGGCCGUGCAGGGGUUUUCCACUCAUUGCAAUGUAAUCCCUCCACGGCAAUGUAUGAAGCUAUGAGCAUUCAUUCAUCCCAUUGGCAAACGGAAGACCCGAUGGCUGCACAUUAACGGUGAUUUUACAGUGAAAUUUGUGACAUUCCUCAACACAACUACACCAACGUGUCCUUGUUAAUUACAAAACAUGUAUGGGUUAAGUUUAUGGGCAUCAGUUGUCCUGUUUUGUGCUUUGAUUGAGAGAAACAAUCGUUUUUUUUAUCAGUGCUGAGGUCGUUGCCAUAGAGACCAAGACAGACAGAGCAACCCUUUCUCAUCAAAAGUACGUUCCCAGAGAACUAUUCGGCAUUCUCAAUUACGUUUGUCUAAAAAACGUAUUUCGUCCGUGAUUACGUUUUAUUGAACAUAUUGUAGUGACGGAGGAAAAGGAGGACGUAGGCAACUUAAUUAUAACCGUUUAAUCCAAUAAAACAGAUCAGAACAAUCAGUCACAGUGCAUGGUUUGUGCAACCGCCUAACGCGUCCCCCUAACCCCCAUGACUCCUGACCAGUUCCCUCCCACUCGAUCAGUAAGAGGGGAACACAAACCCAUAAUGUAGUCACUACAAUAUCGUAAAUACGAAUUCGUUCUCAGCCCAUUUUUGCCAUUUAUUUACCGUGUUACUAUAGCAGAAUAAAGAAUAAAUUCAUGCAUUAUCAUUCAACUUGAACAUGUGUUUUUACAGUAUUGAGUGGUCGAGGGAUGACGUGUGUUGGCCAACCCGGAAGUGAGCGUCGCCCUCGGUUCCGUUCCCUUGACAAAAAGCCAACAGGUUUUUCCAUUGGAUUUUGGAUUAUUGCAGAAAAAUUUGCAUCUUUGAAGCCGCUCCUCAAAAAAUGAAAUUAAAUAAAUAAAAAUAACCGUGCUUCAAAGAACGAAAUGUAAACUAAUGCAUUCUGAAUGGGAGAGUUUCUCCGAUUUUUCCAUGCUACACAGAACGAAAUGUAAACCCAUGCAAAUAAAGACUUCAUGGUCCUAAUAAUUUAAACAUUAUUAAUCUCCUGAUUAAUCUCUUCAGUGUGUAGGGUGGUAUUCUAUU